CGCUCUGAACGGCGUCUGUGAGAAGACGGCUCAGGCGACCUCUGACCCCUCGAAGAGCGAUCAGUCCUGCCUGGAGGAGGUUCACAUCCCCAACGUCAAGCCUGGGGAGGGACUGGGUAUCUACAUCAAGUCCACCUACGACGGGCUGCACGUCAUCACUGGAACUACAGAGAACUCCCCUGCAGAUAAGACCCAGAGGAUUCAUGCUGGAGAUGAAGUGGUUCAGGUCAACAGACAGACAGUGGUG